rnacentral:rRNA from 1 species
UACGUAGGAUGCAAGCGUUGUCCGGAAUUAUUGGGCGUAAAGAGUUCGUAGGUGGUUAUCUAAGUCCGGUGUUAAAGCCCGGAGCUCAACUCCGGCAUGGCAUUGGAAACUGGAUGGCUAGAGUGUGGAAGAGGUAACUGGAAUUCCUAGUGUAGCGGUGAAAUGCGCAGAUAUUAGGAGGAACACCUGUGGCGAAAGCGAGUUACUGGUCCAUUACUGACACUGAGGAACGAAAGCCAGGGUAGCAAAAGGG